ensembl:lncRNA
GUCUGAUGAAGGCCUCUACAAGUGUGACAUCAGCGGUCAUGGAGAGUCUCCAUCCAGCUGGAUCACUGUCACAGACAAACACACCACCUCACCUCCACCUACAUCCACACCUCCAACUACAUCAGCCUCUAUUACUACAAACACUCCUGCUUAUUCCUCGUUCCUUCUCUGUGUGUUAUUUCCUGUUGGAGCAGUCUGUGUUUUGGUUCUACUGGUGUUACUGGUUCUGAGACAACAUUUUCAGAGGAAACUUGAAGGCUGUGAUCCAGCUACGGUCUAUUUAUCAGUGAGAGCAGACAACAUCAGUUGUCGACCAACAGACAUCAGAACAAACAGGUCCAGAGAGUGCAAUCCAGCUACAAUCUACUCAUCAGUGAGAAGAGACAAGAUCACUCAUGGACAAACAGACAUCAGACCAAACAGGCGCAGAGAGUUUCCAUCUGACCAAAAUGGCAUCUACCCAUGAAGUAAUCCACCAGUCCAACCACUGGAAUCCUGUUGCUGGUCCACACAGGCGCUCAGACUAGAUUUUUAUAUAUUCUGUUUGAUCUUCUCAUUAAACAUAUUCACAUAACACAUAUUAUAACAAAUAUUUGAAUGUAAUGUAAUGCAGUGUAUGGAAAACAAUCAGUACCUGGCAGGACGGUGCUGCCCUCCCCACAGCAGUGAUCUCUGCAGAUCUCUGUAAGAAACUUUGGUCUCACUUGUUCUUCUUGUGCGGUUCUCUGGAUUUCACAAAUAUUAAUGAAGAAAAAUGUGAGUCGUUGUGGCUGAUUAAGAUCUGAAUAAAACCAUAACCACAGAUUAAAAGCAGCAUGAGCAUCACUGGAAACUUUUAAAACUUAAAGAGUUUUAAAAGAUCUCAGUUCAUAUGGUCCAGCCGAGCUUUAAAAGAAAAGUUAAAAACAAUAAGAGUUUAAAAACUAAACGGCACAGAAUUAAGACAUGUAGGGUAGGGUGAACAAGUGGGUCUUCAACUUAGCUUUAAAAACCUCCACAGAGCAUGCCUGCCUAAUAUCUUGAGGGAUGUUGUUCCACAAAAAUGAGGCACGAAAAGAAAAAGCACUUUAUCCAAUAGUCUUUUUUCUGACUUUAGAAACACUGUGUUGAAUAAAAGUUAUGCUUAUGAUGAGAUUUGAGAAAUAAUUUGCUUUGUCUGUAGGGGCCACCGUAGGGUCCAGCAAAUCAGAUUAAAUAUGUACACACACUCAUGUUUAUGUCAG